rnacentral:rRNA from 1 species
AUUGAACGCUGGCGGCAGGCCUAACACAUGCAAGUCGAGCGAGCGGCGGACGGGUGAGUAAUGUAUGGGGACUGCCCGAUAGAGGGGGAUAACUACUGGAAACGGUAGCUAAUACCGCAUACUAUCGGCUAACCCAUAUGGGAUUAGCUAGUAGGUGAGGUAAAGGCUCACAAAGGCAACGAUCCGUAGCAGGUUUGAGAGUACGACCAGCCACACUGGGACUGAGACACGGCCCAGACUCCUACGGAGGCAGCAGUGGGGAAUUUUGGACAAUGGGGGAAACCCUGAUCCAGCCAUCCCGCGUGUAUGAUGAAGGCCUUCGGGUUGUAUAGUACUUUUGGCAGAGAAGCGGUAUCUGCAGAAUAAGCACCGGCUAACUACGUGCCAGCAGCCGCGGUAAUAC